UACAGAGGUCCCAAGCGUUGUUCGGAUUCACUGGGCGUAAAGGGUGCGUAGGUGGUCGGGUAAGUCUGAUGUGAAAUCUCCGAGCUUAACUCGGAAAUGGCAUUGGAUACUAUUCGGCUAGAGGGUUUGAGGGGGACUGGAAUACUUGGUGUAGCAGUGAAAUGCGUAGAUAUCAAGUGGAACACCAGUGGCGAAGGCGAGUCCCUGGAAAACUCCUGACACUGAGGCACGAAAGCUAGGGGAGCAAACAGG
rnacentral:rRNA from 1 species